UCCUACGGGACGCAGCAGUGAGGAAUAUUGGUCAAUGGCCGAGAGUCUGAACCAGCCAAGUCGCGUGAAGGAUGACGGCCCUAUGGGUUGUAAACUUCUUUUGUCGGGGGGCAAAGCGAGUCACGUGUAUCUCGUUGAAGGUACCGGAAGAAUAAGCAUCGGCUAACUCCGUGCCAGCAGCCGCGGUAAUACGGAGGAUGCGAGCGUUAUCCGGAUUUAUUGGGUUUAAAGGGUGCGCAGGCGGA
rnacentral:rRNA from 1 species